rnacentral:rRNA from 1 species
AGAGUUUGAUCCUGGCUCAGGAUGAACGCUAGCUACAGGCUUAACACAUGCAAGUCGAGGGGAAACGACAUCGAAAGCUUGCUUUUGAUGGGCGUCGACCGGCGCACGGGUGAGUAACGCGUAUCCAACCUGCCCACCACUUGGGGAUAACCUUGCGAAAGUAAGACUAAUACCCAAUGAUAUCAUGAGUUCACAUGUUCACAUGAUUAAAGGUUUUCCGGUAGACGAUGGGGAUGCGUUCCAUUAGAUAGUAGGCGGGGUAACGGCCCACCUAGUCUUCGAUGGAUAGGGGUUCUGAGAGGAAGGUCCCCCACAUUGGAACUGAGACACGGUCCAAACUCCUACGGGAGGCAGCA